CCCAGAGACGUUUCCUCUCCCCUCUAACGCCGCUCACACUCUGCAGUCUUCAGAGGCCAGGAUAUGUUAAUGCUGGAGUUGUUCCUGUGUGGUGGCCUCUCAGAUCUAAUGUGGACACAAUGAAGUACAAAGGAUGUGACAGAACUAUGCAAGAAUGGAUUUAGAGGUUGUCCAUCAGUCAAUACUACGCCCAGUCAACAGAUCACAUCAGAAAAUGCAGCACAAGAUGAGUUUACGAGUAUAUUGAAAAAGAAAGAGACAUGCCCCUGAAGGCAAACACAGGCAAAAGUAAAUGUGAUGGCAGUUAAAGA